AUUGAACGCUGGCGGCAGGCCUAACACAUGCAAGUCGAGCGAGAGGCGGACGGGUGAGUAAUGUAUGGGCAUCUGCCCGAUGGAGGGGGAUAACUACCGGAAACGGUUGCUAAUACCGCAUACCAUCGGAUGUGCCCAGAUGGGAUUAGCUAGUAGGUGGGGUAACGGCUGACCUAGGCGACGAUCCCUAGCUGGUCUGAGAGGAUGAACAGCCACACUGGAACUGAGACACGGUCCAGACUCCUACGGGAGGCAGCAGUGGGGAAUAUUGCACAAUGGGCGCAAGCCUGAUGCAGCCAUGCCGCGUGUAUGAAGAAGGCCUUCGGGUUGUAAAGUACUUUCAGCGAGGAGGCGUUACUCGCAGAAGAAGCACCGGCUAACUCCGUGCCAGCAGCCGCGGUAAUAC
rnacentral:rRNA from 1 species